UCUAUCUAUAUUGGUCUCUGCCGAUCUCUGCCGAGCGGUGGAGGCUGUGUGCUGUUUUUCAAUCGCCCAAACAGGACGAGACCAGCUGUCCAAUUGCUGACAAGAAUAUCAAAGGGUAGGAAUGGGAAUGUAUCCAAUCAGCGUCGACGUAGUUUCAGAACGUUUCAGAAGCAUGAUGGGCGAUGGAGCUACCGCCAAAGGAUUCUUUGGUGUUCGGUAGAACUUGGCAGAGUCGUUUUUGGUCGUGACGCAGAUGUAACAUGGACGCCGCCGGUGACUACAACCAGCAUGGAUACCGGAUCUCUGCAGCCACUGAAUUCAGUUCGGUCUCUUCUCCAGCAUCCAUUCGAGAGGAGAACUAUGGUGGAAAAACUUAAUGUCAAAGAGCUUGGACCAGAUCAGCCCGACGUAAAGAUAAGCCAGCAGGAGAAGGAGAGAGGUAAACUGUACACACUAGGCUUCUCCCGAAAUUGUUUCACCAGGAAGGCUUGGCUAGCUGGAUGCAAUCAUGCUAAUGCGUUAUUUUGCUUUCCGUGUUUGUUAUUCAAAACGGCUGGGACAGAUAAGGCAUGGAUGAGUCAGGAGUUACAGACAUGAAACAUUUUUCUGAGAAGGUGAAGAAACACGAGUCAUCCCGGGCACACAUGGACAACAACACGGUGAAGCUAGCCAUGCUAGGCAGCAGAGCUAACGUUGCCAUGCAGGGAACAACAGCAGCUGGGUGCAGAGGUUUUUCACACCAUCCUGAGCCAUGCAAAAGAAGGUUCUUGUCACCACACCCAUGACCACAGCCGAAACAGAAAGGUGCUUUUCUACUUUAAAGAGGAUUAAGACUUUCCUUGAGGAACACCAUGACACAGGAUGGGCUGAAUGCUCUUGCCAUGCUCUCCAUGGAAAAAAAGCUUGUCACAAACAUUCCUGACUUCAAUAACACACACACACACACACACACACACACACACACACACACACACACACACACACACACACACACA